GAUGAAGAACGUAGUGAAAUGCGAUACGUAAUGUGAAUUACAGAAUUCAGUGAAUCAUCGAAUCUUUGAACGCAUAUUGCGCUCUCUGGUAUUCCGGAGAGCAUGCUUGUUUGAGUAUCAGUAAACACCUCAACUUCCAUAUCUUUUUUUGAAAUGGGAGUUGGACUUGAGUGAUCCCAACGCUUUUCCUCACCGAAAAGUGGCGGGUUACUUGAAAUGCAGGUGCAGCUGGACUUUUCUCUGAGCUAUAAGCAUAUCUAUUUAGUCUGCCUAAAAAACAGAUUAUUACCUUUGCUGCAGCUAACAUAAAGGAGAUUAGUUCUUGUGCUGACUGAUGCAGGAUUCACAAAGACAGCUUCGGCCGACUUUGUAAACUCGAUCUCAAAUCAAGUAAGACUACCCGCUGAACUUAAGCAUAUCAAUAAGCGGAGGA
rnacentral:misc_RNA from 1 species